rnacentral:tRNA from 1 species
UCCGAUGUUGCGCAGCUUGGUAGCGCGUUUGUUUUGGGUAUAAAAUCUCACAGGUUCAAAUCCUGUCAUCCCUA